UAAGGUAGUAAGGAAUCACACCAAUGAGAUUAAUUGAAAUUGAAAUUCAAUAAAUAUUCGAUCAAACUAUAGAAAGAGUAUGGCUAAUUCUAUGAAAAAUCUAAUAAGAAAACAACUUUCAAAACCAAUUCAUGAAGAAAAAAUCUAGAUCAAUUUAAUUUCACUUAUAAUUCUAGAAUUUAGGCUUCUUAAGAACAUAUUCCUCUUUGAUUUAUUGAAAUAUGAUUCA
rnacentral:lncRNA from 1 species